rnacentral:rRNA from 1 species
GAUGAACGCUAGCGGCAGGCCUAAUACAUGCAAGUCGAACGGAUCGCAAGGUCAGUGGCAAACGGGUGCGUAACGCGUAAGCAACCUGCCUCAUACUGGGGGAUAGCCCGGCGAAAGCUGGGGUAAACCCGCACGGUCCCACGGAAUCACCUGGUUUUUGGGUAAACAUUUAUGGGUAUGAGAGGGGCUUGCGUCUGAUUAGUUAGUUGGCAGGGUAACGGCCUACCAAGACGAUGAUCAGUAGGGGUUCUGAGAGGAUUGGCCCCCACAUGGGUACUGAGAUACGGACCCCAAUCCUACGGGAGGCAGCAGUAGGGAAUAUUGGGCAAUGGAGGCAACUCU